CUGCCUCUUGCCAGAGCAUCCUCAGCAGCUGCCACAGAAGCAGCCUCCUCCUCUCCUUCCUCCUCCUCCUCCCCUCGCUGCUGCCACCGUAGCUGCUGCCGCCUCAGCCGCUGCUCACUGCUUGCUGCUUCUAUUUCCUCUCCUCCUUCUUCCUCCCUCAGUCUCUGCUCCUCCUCCGGUUCCCAGUUCUUUCACGCCAGUGGCAGUGGCGGAGAGCAGAAUCCUCGGCGAGCAGCUUCCCUUCUCUCGGGCCACGAAGAGGCUGGAACAGAUGGAGAACACAUUUGAAAAGGAGAAUUACUGAGUUGGACAUUUCUAGAAAAGGCUCACAACAUACCCACUAACACUGCUA
rnacentral:lncRNA from 1 species